CACGUAGGGUGCGAGCGUUGUCCGGAAUUAUUGGGCGUAAAGAGCUCGUAGGCGGUUUGUCGCGUCUGCUGUGAAAACUGGGGGCUCAACCCCCAGCCUGCAGUGGGUACGGGCAGACUAGAGUGCGGUAGGGGAGAUUGGAAUUCCUGGUGUAGCGGUGAAAUGCGCAGAUAUCAGGAGGAACACCGGUGGCGAAGGCGGAUCUCUGGGCCGAUACUGACGCUGAGGAGCGAAAGCGUGGGGAGCGAACAGG
rnacentral:rRNA from 1 species